CCUACGGGUGGCAGCAGUGGGGGAUAUUGCACAAUGGGGGGAACCCUGAUGCAGCGACGCCGCGUGGGUGAAGGAGUAUUUCGGUAUGUAAAGCCCUAUCGGCAGGGAAGAAUUUAGACGGUACCUGACUAAGAAGCCCCGGCUAACUACGUGCCAGCAGCCGCGGUAAUACGUAGGGGGCAAGCGUUAUCCGGAUUCACUGGGUGUAAAGGGAGCGUAGACGGCCAGGCAAGCCUGGAGUGAACGCCCGGGGCCCAACCCCGGGACUGCUCUGGGAACUGUCCGGCUGGAGUGCGGGAGGGGCAGGCGGAAUUCCUGGUGUAGCGGUGAAAUGCGUAGAUAUUAGGAGGAACACCAGUGGCGAAGGCGGCUUACUGGACUGUAACUGACGUUGAGGCUCGAAAGCGUGGGGAGCAAACAGGAUUAGAUACCCUUGUAGUC
rnacentral:rRNA from 1 species